GUAAGACCGAAUCUUUGGGGAAGGGUUCUGUGGGGAGGGACAGUUUCAACACGUUCGGCAUGGAGAAAACAAAGUCAAUAAACAUAGUCAAAUGUCACCAACAGCUGAGGAUGAAAAACCAUCAUCACAGCAUACCUUCAGUGGAGUUUAUUUAUUGUAUCAUCCAACUAAAUAGUGAUAAUUUUGAUCCAAAAUUCAUUUUUGAUGUCCAAAAAUGUCAUGGCUUGGGAAUACAUCCAGGAAUCAGAUCAAAAAGUCAGACACAAACAAAAGCUGUUGAUUCUGCUGAUACGAAGACUGACACUGAAUUCAAAUGCUCAUCCUUGCAGAAUUCUUGAAUCAUUGGAGUCCACACAUUUAAGUUGCUAUCUUCAGAUGUCUGGAGCUCUUUCUCAAGGAGAUGCGCAAAUUUGGCAAGUCCAAACAUGGGAACUUCAACAAGAGACUUUCCUUGACCGCUGGAACUCCUCCCUCUCGACUUUGACCAGGAAGGCAGUCAUCAUGCCCUAUUUUACACUUCAUUCCAAACCCCUUAAACUUGUCCUUAAACUAUGAUGAUGCUAUUGUCAUACUGUUAUAGAUCUACAUUAAUAUCUCAUUGUCAUAAGUACUGUGCUCUUGCCCUAGUGACAAAAACAACAUAUUUAUGUACAGUAUACAUUUAUUAGUUGUAUAUCCUGGGUAUCAAACCCAUGAUGUUGGUUUUACUAGCAACAUGCUCUACCAGAUGAGCUACAAGACCAAGAGAACUACAGGAAUUUAAUCCAAUGAUGGUGGCCUAUAAGCAAGAGAAGACCAACCAUUAAAUAUCUUGAGUACCCUUUUAAUUAAAAUGUUGUGGUAUUUACUUAGUCCCUCUGAAACUGACAUUUGUUUAGUCUGAGAUUAAAAACUGGAAAACUGAAAUUGAGUUAUGUUCAUGUAAAUUGUCUGACUGUCUGUAGUUAUAUUAUGUCAGUGAUCCCGACAGUAUGUGUGUAACCAUUGUAAAAGAGGCAGUUGAAAUGCAACAUCACUAAUGCUUUUUUUUCUUAGCACAGAAUGAACUCAUCUUUGAGAUAAGAAGUGGGUGGGGGUUAUUAGCGAGUGAGCAUAUCAUGUGAAACUAACAAUGUUUCUGUUGGUCAGAACCCUUCUCCAAAAUGUCAACAGCUCUCAGUUUUAGCAAAAGAUGCUCGAGAUAAAUAUAUUGACUGGAUUUGCAUAGUCUUAUACUAAGAUCCAAUCCACCUCCAAGAUCUCUUUGGGCUUAGAUCUUCAAACAUGAAGACCACACUGCCCCAUUGUAACUUAGGGGCCAAAUUCAAAUAUGUCCUUGACCAUUCAAAAGUGCAAACUGGCAUCUGUGAUUAAGUGUUGGAUUUUCUUCAUUGCUAGCAUGAUGCCACAGUAGCAUUCCCACUAUAAUGGGGAAAUUUCAAGUGGAUCAUGGACCGAGAGAUAUGACAAUGGGGAUGUGGGUUUAAUGAUUAAGAGUGAAGGAAAUAAAAUGUAAUGGUCUCCUGAUCUUAACAUACCAGAGGAGUACAUACAUCUGAGAGAGACACAAGAGGUUUUAGCAACAUGACACAACGUGUCCUUGAGAGCACAUAAUCUGAGCUAAUAUCUAUGCUUACGAUCCAAUUUAAUUAUGCAUUGUUUGAGAUUUCAUUGCUAGCAUCCAUUAUUUAAGAUUUCAAUUUGAAUUCUUUAUUUUUUUCUUGUCAAGUUCUUUGUCCUGUGUAACUAGUCUUUAAAUGUUUUGACAGCUCUGGCAUGGCCAAACAAGGGAUGUGGGUAGCAGAAAAAAGUUCCUUGCCUUUUUCAACAAAAGCGUCUUUGUGUUUAUAAUAAUGUGUGAGGUCUGAAGUCAAUAUUUGUCAUUCUUUCUUGUUCAUUUUUUUACACAUUGCAUUAGCAUAAUAUGUGUUAUGUGCUUAACAGUUUCAACAUUAUACCAUUCAGAUAGUACAUCCUGGAAAAGUGUGGUUCUGACCAUGGUGCUGUAUGCUUAAUAAAUGUGCUGACAUUACUGAA